rnacentral:tmRNA from 1 species
GAGGGCGAAAAGGUAUCGACAGAGGUAGGAAUUUUAUAUUGCGUUUCGUGAAUGAUUGAGACACGUUAAAAUUGAUCAUGUAAAUAUAACUGCAGACAAUUUCGCAGAUGAUUACUCUCUAGCAAUAGCAGCGUAAUCCGUGCUACUUAGUUUUGAUCUCUGGAUUAAGAUAGGGCGUCGACUUAAGAGAUGUAGAAAUUUAUAGGAUGUGUUUUGAUAAGCUUUUUGGGCUAUAAAUUUUGAAAUAAAUCCAUCGCACUUAUCCAUUACCAUUGUUGUUGUGUCAACUCCGCUUUAAAGCGUUUUGGUAAUGUAUUAAAAGCUGACUAUAAACGUAGACGUAUGAUUGGAAUAUACUUUGGACCAGGGUUCGACUCCCUGCGCCUUCACCA